GUUAUAUGGUCAAGCGAAUAAGCGCACACGGUGGAUGCCUUGGCGGUCAGAGGCGAUGAAGGACGUGGCAGCCUGCGAAAAGUAUCGGGGAGCUGGCAACAAGCUUUGAUCCGGUAAUGUCCGAAUGGGGAAACCCACCCGCUUGCGGGUAUCCUGCAGUGAAUACAUAGCUGCUGGAAGCGAACCUGGUGAACUGAAAUAUCUAAGUAACCAGAGGAAAAGAAAUCAACCGAGAUUCCGUAAGUAGCGACGAGCGAACGCGGACUAGCCCUUAAGCUGAUUUGGUUCUAGGAAAACGCUCUGGAAAGAGCGGCCAUAGAAGGUGAUAGCCCUGUAUCUGAAAGGGCCAUUUCAGUGAAGACGAGUAGGGCGGGGCACGUGAAACCCUGUCUGAAYAUGGGGGGACCAUCCUCCAAGGCUAAAUACUACUGACCGACCGAUAGUGAACCAGUACCGUGAGGGAAAGGCGAAAAGAACCCCGGAGAGGGGAGUGAAAUAGAACCUGAAACCGUGUGCGUACAAGCAGUAGGAGCUCCGCAAGGAGUGACUGCGUACCUUUUGUAUAAUGGGUCAGCGACUUACUGUUCGUGGCAAGCUUAACCGUAUAGGGGAGGCGAAGGGAAACCGAGUCUGAUAAGGGCGCAUAGUCGCGGGCAGUAGACCCGAAACCGGGUGAUCUAGUCAUGCCCAGGGUGAAGGUGCGGUAACACGCACUGGAGGCCCGAACCCACUCCCGUUGCAAAGGUAGGGGAUGAGGUGUGAUUAGGAGUGAAAAGCUAAUCGAACCCGGAGAUAGCUGGUUCUCCUCGAAAGCUAUUUAGGUAGCGCCUCAUAUGUAUCCUCUCGGGGGUAGAGCACUGUUAUGGCUAGGGGGUCAUCGCGACUUACCAAACCAUUGCAAACUCCGAAUACCGAGACGGACUGUAUGGGAGACACACGGCGGGUGCUAACGUCCGUCGUGAAAAGGGAAACAACCCAGACCCACAGCUAAGGUCCCAAAUUUUGUGCUAAGUGGAAAACCAUGUGGAAAGGCACAGACAGCCAGGAGGUUGGCUUAGAAGCAGCCACCCUUUAAAGAAAGCGUAAUAGCUCACUGGUCGAGUCGGUCUGCGGGGAAGAUUUAACGGGGCUAAGCACAGAACCGAAGCUUGGGGUGCAUACUUUGUAUGCGCGGUAGAGGAGCGUUCCGUAAGCCGUUGAAGGUGGAUUGAGAAGUCUGCUGGAGGUAUCGGAAGUGCGAAUGCUGACAUGAGUAACGAUAAUGCGGGUGAAAAACCCGCACGCCGAAAGCCCAAGGUUUCCUUGCGCAACGUUAAUCGGCGCAGGGUGAGUCGGCCCCUAAGGCGAGGACGAAAGUCGUAGUCGAUGGGAAGCAGGUUAAUAUUCCUGCACCUCGCGUAAGUGCGAUGGAGGGACGGAGAAGGUUAGGUGUACCAGGCGUUGGUUGUCCUGGGGAAAGGCGGUAGGUUUGGAUCUUUGGCAAAUCCGGGAUCCUYUAAGACCGAGCACCGAGACGAGCCUUUAUGGCGAAGUCACUGAUACCACGCUUCCAGGAAAAGCUCCUAAGCUUCAGCUUACGCAGACCGUACCGUAAACCGACACAGGUGGGUAGGAUGAGAAUUCUCAGGCGCUUGAGAGAACUCGGGUGAAGGAACUAGGCAACAUGGCACCGUAACUUCGGGAGAAGGUGCACCCUUUUUGGUGGCUCGUGCGAGCUAUAGCUGAAGAGGGUCGCAGUAACCAGGCCGCUGCGACUGUUUAUCAAAAACACAGCACUCUGCAAACACGAAAGUGGACGUAUAGGGUGUGACGCCUGCCCGGUGCUGGAAGGUUAAUUGAUGGGGUCAGCCGCAAGGCGAAGCUCUUGAUCGAAGCCCCAGUAAACGGCGGCCGUAACUAUAACGGUCCUAAGGUAGCGAAAUUCCUUGUCGGGUAAGUUCCGACCUGCACGAAUGGCGUAACGACAGCGGCGCUGUCUCCACCCGAGACUCAGUGAAAUUGAAAUCGCUGUGAAGAUGCAGCGUUCCCGUGGCAAGACGGAAAGACCCCGUGAACCUUUACUAUAGCUUUACACUGAACGUUGAGUUCGUCUGUGUAGGAUAGGUGGGAGGCUAUGAAACYRUGGCGCUAGCUGUGGCGGAGCCAUCCUUGAAAUACCACCCUGUCGUGCUUGACGUUCUAACCUGGGCCCAUUAUCUGGGUCGGGGACCGUGUAUGGUGGGUAGUUUGACUGGGGCGGUCUCCUCCUAAAGAGUAACGGAGGAGCUCGAAGGUACGCUCAGCGCGGUCGGACAUCGCGCACUGUGUGCAAAGGCAUAAGCGUGCUUGACUGCAAGAUCGACGGAUCAAGCAGGUAGGAAACUAGGACUUAGUGAUCCGGUGGUUCUGUAUGGAAGGGCCAUCGCUCAACGGAUAAAAGGUACUCCGGGGAUAACAGGCUGAUACCGCCCAAGAGUUCAUAUCGACGGCGGUGUUUGGCACCUCGAUGUCGGCUCAUCACAUCCUGGGGCUGUAGUCGGUCCCAAGGGUAUGGCUGUUCGCCAUUUAAAGUGGUACGCGAGCUGGGUUCAGAACGUCGUGAGACAGUUCGGUCCCUAUCUGCCAUGGGCGUUGGAGAUUUGAGAGGGGCUGCUCCUAGUACGAGAGGACCGGAGUGGACGAACCUCUGGUGUUCCGGUUGUCACGCCAGUGGCAUUGCCGGGUAGCUAUGUUCGGAAGCGAUAACCGCUGAAAGCAUCUAAGCGGGAAGCGCGCCUCAAGAUGAGAUCUCCCGGGGCACAAGCCCCCUGAAGGAACCAUGUAGACUACGUGGUUGAUAGGUCAGGUGUGUAAGUACAGCAAUGUAUUGAGCUAACUGAUACUAAUGAUCCGUGCGGCUUGACCAUAUAACCU
rnacentral:rRNA from 1 species